UACAGGGAAUGUGCUUGCAGCUAGAGGAAGAAGAAUGUUUCUAUACCCUUUAUUCCAUUUCACUGGCAGCCUGCAGACCCCCGACCUUCCAUGAACUUCUUAAUCUUUCUUAUUCGUUCAGCCAACAGACCUGGGAGUUAGGAGUCCGAGGUGUUAUGCAGAGUGGGUUCAGUGGUUAGUACUGGACACGAACUUCCAGCAGCUCACUUCCUUUCCAAAGGGAGUCUUUAUGUCUAGAGCUAUGGGAUCCAGAACUUUCUCCUCCGAAGACACGUUUUUGCUGGAUCUCUAAUAGCUGGAAAUCCAAGAAGUUCAACUGAGUGUAUAAUGAUAGCAGCUUCCUCUGUGCUCCCUGCGCCUGUGACUCCCUCCUACCACAACUGCUGGGACCCUCGAUCGGAAGGCACAUUCAUGUUGUGAAGCUGGGUGACAUGAAGAUGGAUUGCCACCACUGAUGAACAAAAGCAGGUGUGGAUGCCUCAGGAAGUGAUGAUUAUUAAAGUGUGGUUCUCUCUGAACCCAAAAGAGUCAAUGAUUGACACUGACUUAUUUGACGCCAGAUCAAUUCCAAAGCCCUAAAGUCACAUAAUUAUUAAUACAUGUUUCACUUUAGGGAGGGCAGUAAGAAAAUAUCUUCUUAGAUCAUGUCAUUUCUAUGUCAUAAGUCUAGCUUUAAAUUCUUGAAUUGCUUGGGUACAUAAGAACUAUCUAUAUGAUAGAAAUAAAU
rnacentral:lncRNA from 1 species